CCUAACCUACCUCACAGGCUUGUUGUGAGGGUAAACCUAAUCAUGUACACCGCUUCAAACACAGGAAGCAAUGAAGAAUCCACCUUCCCUUUUGAUCAAGCCCCAAAAGGUCAACCAAACCGAUAGAAAGCAGCUCUCGUCAAGGAGGAGGCCCAGGGGGAGCGGGGAGGAGUUCCCUCACUGGGGUGGGAUCCUUGCCCGGAAGGGGUUCCCAGGAGGCUGCUGCCACCAUCCACUUUAUUAUUUUGAUGUGGGGAAACACGCUCCCCAUAUCCGGUGCCUGGGGGUGGGGGAUUAAGGGGCCAAACCCUCCCCAAAGGGCUGAGCAGUCCUCGGCCUCCAAAGGCAGGUGCCGAAGGCAGACCCAGAGCAGCCAGGAUUUCGUUUCGGAUUCCAAGGAAAAGCGGUGCAGCAAGGACUUUUCAUCAAAGAGAUGACCAGAGAGAGGUCUCAGUAACCUGGCAAUGCAGAUCCCCAGCGAUCCUCACAGAAGAACCACUUCCCCCCGGAGGCCUUGCACGGAUGUCCUGCUCCUUCUUCCUCACAGGCUGCGGCCUUCCCAGCUCCCCAGCAGCUCUCGGCCUGCUUCUUCCUCGGGGUCCUCCUCCUCCUCCUCCUCCUCCUCCUCCUGGGACAGACUCACCAGGAGACCAGAGCUUCUGCUGGGGGUGAAGCCAGGAAUCCCACCCAGUCCUCUGAGCUGGUCCCUUUGAUUUGGCUCUAAGCGAGGCCUAGUCCUCCCUCCAGUCCUUACACGCAAAAUGAAGAGAGCAUCAAAGAACGGAAAACUUCUUCUGGCCAUGACUUCCUGAUGGGGGAAAGAAGGGCUGGAUAAGGGCCACAGCAAGUGGUUGUGUCAUAUAGACAGCUUCCAGGGUGUGUGGCGCCAUGGAUACAAAGAGCCAAGCUGACCAAGGAAAGAAGCUACUAGCCAGAGCAGCCAGUGACUGUGGGAGCGACGGAGGAACAGCAGCAUCCCGCUGAGAAUGCAAAGCAUUGAGGACCUUCCUGUAUUCCUCGGUAACCGCUGGAAAAGAGGUUGGGAGAAGCUAAGAGGAAGGAGAGAAGAGACUCUACAGUGGAAGAACACACUUUGGGAAGAGCAGGAUCAGCCCCUUUAUCAUUUUGGUUUCCCACUUCUGCUGCACGUUCUUCAGUUCGACAAUAUCCCCUUUUUAUAAUCUGGUGACCGGAACGAUACACAUUACUUCUGAGGAACGGCUACAACUGGAAACAAGGUCAGCUUCAUGUUGUUGUUGUUGUUGUUGUUGUUGUUGUUGCCAGUAAGCAACAUACCACCUUGGGUUUAUUCUCUCUUUUUGACAGUUAAAGCACCACAUUUUCAUUGAUGCCAGGAGAUGUUGAACAGUAGGGCACACAUCCUGGGCUGCCUCUGUUAUGGCACAAGAGAUAUUCCCAGACUGAUUGGGCAAGGUUUGGACCACAAUGUGUGUCUGGACAUUUAAAUUUGCAUUCUGAUUGGGCAAGACCUCUAGGGUUUUUAAAUUCUGUCUUGAUCGAAUUGGGCAAGAUCUCUAGGAUUUUUAAAUUGUAUAUGGAAUUGGGCAAGAUCAAGGCCUGUGUGGGCCUCGAUUUUUAAAUUGCAUACCCCAGCUUGAUAUUGACAUUUGUAUUCUGAUUGGGCAAGACCUCUAGGGUUUUUAAAUUCUGUAAGGAAUUGGGCAAUAUCAGGGCCUGCGUGGGCCUCGAUUUUUAAAUUGCAUCCCCCAGCUUGACAUUGACAUUUGUAUUCUGAUUGGGCAAGACCUCUAGGGUUUUUAAAUUCUGUAAAGAAUUGGGCAAGAUCAUGGCCUGUGUGGGCCUCGAUUUUUAAAUUGCAUCCCCCAGCUUGACUGAGCACACAAUCUCUACGUUCCCUUAGAGUGAAUUGGGCACGAUACCAUUAUUUUAAAUAAUUCCAUAUCUGUGCAGCAUUAGGCCAGUGGCCUGGAGUCCCAUGAGCUUGGAAUCUCCAAUGGCUCAACUGGGCAAGACAAUUGGUGUCUUUAAAUUCUGUCAGGGCCUUGUGGACAUAUUUUUUAGCCGGGGGUAGUGUUAUAUUUAGAUCGACUGACCACCCACUUUUAUUCAUGCUCUUGAUCAAGGUUGAAUCAAAUGGAUCACGUUGCGUGUUUUAUAUGCGCUGUGUCCCAAGUGUUGAGUGACCCAUGAAGACAUCACUUCUUGUUUAGUGCACUCAUGGCCAUCUCGGAUCCACAUUCCUUACUCAAGGAAAGCCUUGAUUUUGAAUGCUGGGCUCAAGGUUUUGAUGUUUUUCUGUCUAUUGAUAAAAUGGAAGGAAUCAUUUCACAUGCAAAUGUUUAAAUUGGUUGUGUCAUGCAAGUGUUUUGAGAACUGUCUUGACUAAAGAAAUAGUUUGAUUGCCUUGUCAGCAAGAAGGGUGGCUGCAGCCUAGGUGCAAAUCAUGCUAUCUUGCACAGACACAAAAAGCCUUGUGGAAGGUUGUUUCUUUGUUGAAGAUGAUGUUUAGCAUUUUAGCAUGCAAGACUCUUCAGACAUGGAUUGCAUGAACGCCUGGCCUGAGAAAUAGACACCAGAGUGAAUGGCCGUGAAUGCACCUGCUUAAGGAUAGGAAGGCAGAUCACCAAAGGCGGCAGGAGUCCACUGGUGUAGAUGGGAGGUUGGGAGAAGCUAAGAAGAAGGAGAGAAGAGACUCUACAGUGGAAGAACACACUUUGGGAAGAGCAGGAUCAGCCCCUUUAUCAUUUUGGUUUCCCUCUUCUGCUGCACCUUCUUCAGUUCGACAGAAUCUCUUUUUUGUAAUCGGGUGACCGGAACGAUACACAGUAAGUAUUCAAAAUGUGGCAAAAUACCAGGCUCUAGUUUCCCCAGGCACCAUGAAAUUGGGCCACACACCUCAUGCAGUUGGGAAAGAGCAAGCCGUAAAAAAUGUCUCUUCUUCCUGGCCCCAAACCCAGAGCAGACUGGCCCACCAGCCCUGUUCAAAGCAGGCCUUGAUCAGCCACAGUAAGCAUUGGAACCCUGGCCCAGUUUGAGCAGGGAGAACAGUAUGACUGGUCUUCUCCUCCCUCAGUGUUGCCAUCUUGCCCAGACAUUGCAGCUUUCAUAGAAACCCAAGCAAUGUGCCAGUAGUUAGUAUCUGAUCAGGACUUGGCUUCCAAUCCUCAUCCAGACUAAAGGUCCAUGGGGGAAACCUGAGCAAUCUCUUGCUACUUUCCCUACAUUAUGAGACAGUUGUGAGGUUAAAUCAUGAGUGGGGAGCACAGGAAGAGAUGGAUGUACAUUGCCCCAAGGUUUUCGGCCAAAGGGUGAAAUGAAAAAGUACUCAGAACAUUGCCUAACACAAUGUCUGUAUCAUUCACAGUUACUUCUGAGGAACAGCUACAACUGGAAACAACGUCAGCUUCAUGUUGCUGUUGUUGUUGUUGUUGUUGUUGUAACCCCAGUAAGCUUCCAUACCACCUUGGGUUUAUUCUCUCUUUUUGACAGUUAAAGCACUACAUUUUCAUUGACACCAGGAGAUGUUGAACAGUAGGGCACACAUCUUGGGGUACCUCUGUUAUGGCACAAGAGAUAUUCCCAGACUGAUUGGGCAAGGUUCGGACCACAAUGUGUGUCUGGACAUGUAAAUUUGCAUUCUGAUUGGGCAAGACCUCUAGGGUUUUUAAACUCUGUCUUGAUCGAAUUGGGCAAGAUCUCUAGGAUUUUUAAAUUGUAUAUGGAAUUGGGCAAGAUCAAGGCCUGUGUGGGCCUCGAUUUUUAAAUUGCAUCCCCCAGCUUGAUAUUGACAUUUGUAUUCUGAUUGGGCAAGACCUCUAGGGUUUUUAAACUCUGUCUUGAUCGAAUUGGGCAAGAUCUCUAGGGUUUUUAAAUUCUGUAAGGAAUUGGGCAAGAUCAGGGCCUGUGUGGGCCUCGAUUUUUAAAUUGCAUCCCUCAUCUUGACUGAGCACACAAUCUCUAGGUUCCCUUAGAGUGAAUUGGGCAUGAUACCAUUUUUUUAAAAUUCCAAGUCUGGGCAGCUUUAAGCCAGUGUACUGGAUUCCCAUGAGCUUGGAAUCUCCAAUGGCUCAACUGGGCAAGACAAUUGGUGUCUUUAAAUUCUGUCAGGUCCUUGUGGACAUAUUUUUCAGCCAGUUGUGUAGUGUUAAAUUUGGAUCGACUGACCACCCACAGAUAAAGUCUGAAUCAAAUGGAUCACGUUGCGUGUUUUAUAUGCUCUGUGUCCCAAGUGUUGAGUCACCCAUGAAGAGAUGACUUCUUGUUUAGUGCAUUCAUGGCCAUCUCGGAUCCUUAUUCCUUACUCAAGGAAAGCCUUGAUUUUGAAUGCUGGGCUCAAGGUUUUGAUGUUUUUCUGUCUAUUGAUAACAUGGAAGGAAUCAUUUCACAUGCAAAUGUUUAAAUUGGUUGUGUCAUGCAAGGGUUUUGAGAACUGUCUUGACUAAAGAAAUAGUUUGAUUGCCUUGUCAGCAAGAAAGGUGCCUACAGCCUAGGUGCAAAUCAUGCUUUCUUGCACACAGAUUGGGGGGGGGGGGGGCGGGAACCAACUUCUGUUCUAAGGUUGUGUCUUUGUUGAAGAUGAUGUUAAGCAUUUUAGCAUUCAAGACUCUUCAGACAUGGAUUGCAUGAACGCCCGGCCUGAGAAAUUGACACCAGAGUGAACGGAGGUGAAUGCACCUGCUUAAGGAGAGGAAGGCACAUCACCAAAGACGGCAGGAGUCCUGUGGUGAGGAUGGGGUGAGUGUACUGGGCCUGACUGGUUGGAUGAACCCCUAUCCAUACUGGGCCUUUUCCAUACCAGAUUCCAUUUAAAAAAAAAAAUUAAAGUUCGGCACUGACAUUUCUUAGUGACUCUCCUAGAUAGGUUGGGAAAAGUUAAGAAGAAAGCCAGAAGAAACUCUACAUUCGUCACAUGCACUUUAGUAAGGGCAGGAUCAGCCCCUUGAUCAUUUCAGUUUCCCUCUGCUGCACCGAUUGCAGCUCAACAAUAUUCCUUUUUUUUUUGCAGUCCAGUGACCAGAACGAUAAAGAGUAGGUAUCCCAACUGUGGCUAUCCCAUAGUCCAGGGCGGCACCACUCUGGCCCUCCUGUAGAUGUUUGACUACAAUUCCCAUGAUCCCUGACUACUGGCCACUGUGGAAGUCAUCCUAACUUCAACUGACUUGGAUGUAUGUCUUUUUGCAUUAACUUGAAUUCCAAGCUAUUCCAACCAGAGAUGCAUAUUCCUAGUUGUCAGCGUUGCCAGAGGUUUCCAGAGGCCUCUCCUUUUUAAAGGUAGCUUGCUUGUUCAAAUCCCUAUGGAUCUCUUCUCUAUGUGUUGCUGAUGGAGAUGCUUCUCCCCAAAUAAAACCAUAAACCAUGCAUUCGCUUCACAGUGGGUGGGAGGUUGCGGGACAGAUAGGUCCCUACCUGCAUGAGGUCUCACUUUUAUUGUUGCAGACUUCUGCUUCUUGGUCAGAAUUUUAGAUCUGCAAAACCGUGUUGGAGAGAAGGACAGCCUACUCCAUCCAUCGGAGCUCUUUUUACCUCAAUGAUAUUAUCCUUAUUAUUGUUAUUGAUGUUGUUGUUGUUGUUACUGCCACUUUUAAGAGCAUGCCAUAUCUCUGUUUCUCUGUCCUGAUCCGUUCAAUCAAUUCUGUUCAGUGAUUCUUUUCUAUUUAGCUGAUUGGGGGGAGCAACUGUCCCCCUCCUGGUGUUGUUGCUGGGGUCUACCAUCUUCCUUUUUAGAUUGCGAACCCUUUGGGAGCCGUCUUUCAUAUUUUAUCUACGUAAACUGCUUGGAGAUGGAAGGGGAGCUGAAAAGGCUUGAGAACAGCAGAGAUACUCUCAAGGCUGGCUUCUACGAAUCCUUCGGUGGACUGCAUCCUCCCCAGGACUCCGAUGACAGCAGCAAUGGACUGAGAGAGAACCUACAUUACGUGUUCAGGACUACAGAAAUCCCCCUCCCCUUGGCCUCGUGCAGAGGGGAGGGAGUGUGUCCCAGCCCCGCUCUGCAUGAGGACCAAGAAGCGGGCCGAUUGGCCCUUUGGGUUAGGGGGUGGGGUUUCGGCCGGGAUCAGCCGAUCCCCGCCCCGUUCUCCUCAGUUUUGGCCAGGCAUUCCCCUCCCUCCCUCCCUGGUACAGAGCGGGUCUAGCGACUGGUCGCCCAACGGGGCCGAGUAGGAAUUUUUUGCUCCCAACGCAUUGGCCACUGUUGUGGGUUUUUUCGCCUACUCCGUUCUGUGUUCCAGGUGUGUAGUUAGAGUUAGGCCGGUCACAAUGGCAGUAACAGUGCGGGCGGGGUGGUAAUUCGAGGGUUAGAACAUUGGUGAGCACCCUUGGAUUUUUAAAAGGGUGAUUGGUCAAUCGCUCCUUUGUGGCCUGUGUGGUACAGGGAGAAUGGAUUGCCAUGAAACCUGCUUCAGGACUUCACCCACCUUUGGGCUGAGCGGUCCGGGGUGGGUGAAGACCUUGAAGUAUCCAGAUCCUCUCUUACAAAGGGGGGGUUGGCUUUGAAGGAAUUGGGCGGGGCGUACCUGCCCGUUUCCCGAGCCAGGGUGUGUCGCCCAGUAAGGUGCUGGGUAGGACGUCAGAGUUCUAACCCGGUCCUAUUGGCCCGCACUGUUCUCUAAGGGUGAUUAAUCACCUGGUGUUCCCGUCCGCCAUGUCUUUUGUUACAGUUAAUAAAGUUGUGGCCCUUUUACCCAUA